rnacentral:lncRNA from 1 species
UCUGUGAAGGAAAAUACAAAGCUAUCUACAGAUCUGUGUAUAUGCAGACUAUCAGAUCUAACAUAGCAUCCCUCUCUGAAGACGGAGGAAGCACUGCAAGCUCCUGCCCAAGGGUAUCUACAUGAGCUAGCAGAUCAGAGGUUAACUGCAUGGUGGCAAAAUGCUCAUCAAUGUAAGCACUCAUGUCGGCCAGACUGACGGUCAUCUGGGAUCUAAUGGAAGUGCUAUCUGCAAUGGCCACAUCCCUAGCAGAUAAAGCGGCAUCUCGCUCUCCAAUCAAUACAUCCCUGGCUGAUCUAGCAUCAUCCCUCUCUAACAGAGCAGUAUCUCUCUCAUCAAGAGAUGUCAACAUCGCGGCCCUAGCCUGAUCUCUAUCAUAGGUCAUCCGAUGUCAGCUCUGCUCCAAAUGCUGUGCCGAAUACUGAUUAACAGUGGCACUCGGGGUGGGAGAAUCCAUCACAAAUGCUGGCAGCCCAGCAGUCAAAUCAUCGGUGGGAAUAACAGCCUCCUCUAUAGGCUCCUCAUCGUCAGAAUCAAUCCCCUGCACUGUGGAUACUGCCGCAGCCGAUGUAGUCUCUGUCUCCAUCCAUGUGGAAUACUCUGCAGAACAACCUGGAUGACUGACAAAAAACUCAGCCAGCUCUCGUUGAUC